rnacentral:rRNA from 1 species
UACGUAGGGGGCGAGCGUUGUCCGAAUUUACUGGGCGUAAAGCGCGCGUAGGCGGUUCUUUAAGUUGAUUGUGAAAUCUUCACGGCUUAACCGGAAAACUGCGGUCAAGACUGGAGAACUGGAGAUUGGGAGAGGGAAGUGGAAUUCCAGGUGUAGCGGUGAAAUGCGUAGAUAUCUGGAGGAACACCGGUGGCGAAGGCGGCGUUCUGGACUGUUUCUGACACUGAAAAACGAAAGCCAGGGGAGCAAACGGG